AGAUUGAACGCUGGCGGCAUGCCUUACACAUGCAAGUCGAACGGUAGAGUAGCAAUACUUGAGAGUGGCGAACGGGUGAGUAAUAUAUCGGGACGUGCCCAGUCGUGGGGGAUAACGUAGAGAAAUUUACGCUAAUACCGCAUACGAUCUAAGGAUAGAAAGCGGGGGACCGUAAGGCCUCGCGCGAUUGGAGCGGCUGAUAUCAGAUUAGGUUGUUGGUGAGGUAAAAGCUCACCAAGCCGACGAUCUGUAGCUGGUUUGAGAGAACGACCAGCCACACUGGGACUGAGACACGGCCCAGACUCCGUACGGGAGGCAGCAGGUGGGAUUUGGACAAUGGGACGAAGCCUGACUCCAGACCAAGUCGCCGCGUGCGAGGAAGGAAGGUCCGUUGGGUUAGUAAACGUUGUCGUUUUCGGUAACGGAACG
rnacentral:rRNA from 1 species